CACAGUUUACAACCAGACAACCAAUUCGUCGCUGUUUGUUGUUAUGGAAACGCGUGAGGAGGAAGAGAAUUGUUAAGUGUGUCAUCAUCAGCAGCAGCAUCGCAAAGACUGGAUGCAUUCAGCGACAGUGCGCAGACCCUGUAUUACAGUGGUCUGGCUUUGCCACACACCCGGUUAACGCGAACGGGUCGCCUUCUGCCCUGAGAGGUAUUUCAGCACCUGCCCGACAUCGUCCACGGAGCUGCAGGGAGGACUGCAUCAUGAAGUUCUAAAGCUGGAUUCCUUCCACCCGUUUCCUAAGCCCUUCAUUCAAUUCACAGUCGUGGGGGAGCUGGAGCCUAUCCUGGCAAGCAACAGGCUCAAGGCAGUGUACGCCCUGGACAGGAUGUCAGUCACACACACACACGCACACGCACACGCACGCCAGAGCCAUUUUUCCCGGCAGCCAAUUAAUCUCCUAGCAUGUCUUUGGACUGUGGGAGGGAGCCGAAACACUUGGAGCAAACACGUGAACACGGUACGUUCAUGGAAACAUCCAAGAACAUAUCGAUUCCACACAGAUAGCACCCCGGGGCUAGAAUUGAACCCAGGGCCCCAGCACUGCAACGCAGCAAUGCUAAUCACAUCAGCACCCUGCCACCCCAGACUUUUUGCCCCAAAGAUUCAGAAGACGGAGAGUCAGUUCUACAUUGCAAAAGCUCGCACGGCCAGCUGGCAGAAUUGGACAUUAAUCACAACAACAUUGUUAAUCGUUUGCACUCAUUUCGUAGUUCCUGUUUGGGCACUUUAGAGUCCAGAGGGCACUUAUCCAGCCAGGAUUUCAGCAAAGCCAACAACUGCACAGAGAUUAGCAUGGGUCACUUGUGAGUCUCUGUCUUGCACACAGCUGGUAGUUAAGAGACAGAUUCUACUACAAUAA